UAUAAUCUUCAUGACAUAUCACUUUCCAUCUGGUGCAGUUCUGUGUUACAUUCGAAUGGAUGAACCUGCGACCGAUACGUCAGAGAGUUUGUUUGGAUCCCCGAGAUGAAAGAAAAUUGUUAUUUUUAUUUUCUCCACGAAUUUGAAUUUCUUCAAAUGAUUCACAUCGUAAUUUCUUAUUCACAAGCCUGAGGAAGGGAAUAAAUUUCCCGAAACGUUGCUGCUGAAUAAAUUAUACAUAAAUAGUUCCUUGUGACUGAUACCUUCACCUAUUCUUUUCAAAAAAUUUGGUAUUUUGCCAGUGGUAUCUCAAUUCAUCUUGGAAAUUAUAACAUAUGUGAAAACUAAUGAAGGUUCAUUUCUGCGUAUGAAUUACAAUCAUACUUAUUCAACAACACACUCUUCGCUACUAAUCAUACCACGUCACACUCUGGUGGGAUAUGAGAGGUCUCCCAGAUAUAUGGGAAUUAAGUUGUUCAAUUCCCUUCCAAAGACCUAUAGGGAUAUUGAAAGUGUACAAAGUUUCAGAAGGGCAGUUAAUGAUUUCUUAUUGUCUCAAUGUUUCUAUACCCUAUCUGAAUAUUAUGAUUGUUGUAAGCAUAUCAGGUUAGGAAGUUGAUAUACUUAAUAUGUUUUAAAUAAUGGCUAGUAUGUGAAAUUUUUCCUUCUAUUGUUGUUUUAUUGACUUGUCCAAUACGUAUUUGUAAUAUGUCGCUAUGGAUGAAUAAAUUAUUAUUAUUA